rnacentral:rRNA from 1 species
GGCGAACGCUGGCGGCGUGCUUAACACAUGCAAGUCGAACGGAAAGGCCCUGCUUUUGUGGGGUGCUCGAGUGGCGAACGGGUGAGUAACACGUGAGUAACCUGCCCUUGACUUUGGGAUAACUUCAGGAAACUGGGGCUAAUACCGGAUAGGAGCUCCUGCUGCAUGGUGGGGGUUGGAAAGUUUCGGCGGUUGGGGAUGGACUCGCGGCUUAUCAGCUUGUUGGUGGGGUAGUGGCUUACCAAGGCUUUGACGGGUAGCCGGCCUGAGAGGGUGACCGGCCACAUUGGGACUGAGAUACGGCCCAGACUCCUACGGGAGGCAGCAGAGGGGAAUAUUGCACAAUGGGCGGAAGCCUGAUGCAGCAACGCCGCGUGCGGGAUGACGGCCUUCGGGUUGUAAACCGCUUUCGCCUGUGACGAAGCGUGAGUGACGGUAAUGGGUAAAGAAGCACCGGCUAACUACGUG